GGAGGAAUAUUGGUCAAUGGGCGAGAGCCUGAACCAGCCAAGUAGCGUGCAGGACGACGGCCCUAUGGGUUGUAAACUGCUUUUAUAAGGGAAUAAAGUGAGCCUCGUGAGGCUUUUUGCAUGUACCUUAUGAAUAAGGACCGGCUAAUUCCGUGCCAGCAGCCGCGGUAAUACGGAAGGUUCGGGCGUUAUCCGGAUUUAUUGGGCUUAAAGGGAGCGUAGGCCGGAGAUUAAGCGUGUUGUGAAAUGUAGAGGCUCAACCUCUGCACUGCAGCGCGAACUGGUCUUCUUGAGUACGCACAACGUGGGCGGAAUUCGUGGUGUAGCGGUGAAAUGCUUAGAUAUCACGAAGAACUCCGAUUGCGAAGGCAGCUCACGGGAGCGCAACUGACGCCGAAGCUCGAAAGUGCGGGGUAUCGAACA
rnacentral:rRNA from 1 species